rnacentral:rRNA from 1 species
GACGAACCGUCCAAACGUUGUUCGGAAUCACUGGGCUUAAAGGGCGCGUAGGCGGGUGACCAAGUCCGGGGUGAAAUCUUUCGGCUCAACCGGAAAACUGCCUUGGAUACUGGUCAUCUUGAGGGAGGUAGGGGUCUGUGGAACUGAUGGUGGAGCGGUGAAAUGCGUUGAUAUCAUCAGGAACGCCGGUGGCGAAAGCGACGGACUGGACCUUCACUGACGCUGAGGCGCGAAAGCUAGGGGAG